UACGGAGGGUGCAAACGUUGCUCGGAAUCAUUGGGCGUAAAGCGCACGUAGGCGGUCGGCUAUGUCGGAUGUGAAAGCCUCGGGCUUAACCCGAGAAGGGCAUCCGAAACUGGCCGGCUUGAGUACGGAAGAGGGUCUCGGAAUUCCCGGUGUAGAGGUGAAAUUCGUAGAUAUCGGGAGGAACACCAGUGGCGAAGGCGGCUCACUGGCCCGGUACUGACGCUGAGGUGCGAAAGCGUGGGGAGCAAACAGG
rnacentral:rRNA from 1 species